GGGUCAGUAGGUUGGUCGUGCCACCGGUACGUACUGGUCUCACUGAUUCCUCCUUCCUGAAGAACCGUAAUGCCAUUAAUUUGGUGUUGCGGGGAAACAGGACUGUUACUUUGAAAAUAUUAGAGUGUUUAAAGCAAGCUAACGCUUGAAUACAUUAGCAUGGAGUAAUGAAAUAGGACGAUCGAUCCUAUUUUGUUGGUUUCUAGGAUUGACGUA
rnacentral:rRNA from 1 species